AGAGUUUGAUCCUGGCUCAGAUUGAACGCUGGCGGCAUGCCUAACACAUGCAAGUCGAACGGCAGCACAGUCGUAGCAAUACGAUGGGUGGCGAGUGGCGGACGGGUGAGUAAUGCAUCGGGAUCUACCCUGACGUGGGGGAUAACCUCGGGAAACCGGGACUAAUACCACAUACGUCCUACGGGAGAAAGCGGGGGACCUUCGGGCCUCGCGCGGCAGGACGAACCGAUGUGCGAUUAGCUAGUUGGCGGGGUAAUGGCCCACCAAGGCGACGAUCGCUAGCUGGUCUGAGAGGAUGAUCAGCCACACUGGGACUGAGACACGGCCCAGACUCCUACGGGAGGCAGCAGUGGGGAAUAUUGGACAAUGGGCGCAAGCCUGAUCCAGCAAUGCCGCGUGUGUGAAGAAGGCCUU
rnacentral:rRNA from 1 species